CAUACUAAUAUAAAUAUAAACAUCAGUUAACACAGUUUAACAAGUUAAAAUUUCAAUACAUCAACACGCUGAAGACAACACAAGUCAGAACUCGAAUCUCAAAAACUCGUCAACAGAAUAAAAUACGUUCUCCAACAACAAAUUCUUGACAUUUCUCUGAAGAGCUGACCUUGGCAAACUCUUCAUAGAUUGAGGAAGCUUGUUGUACAGUUUGAUGCACCAGUAAUUCACUGCAAUUUGAGUGGAUUUAGCUCUAUGAAAAUUGCUCCUGAACUCAUCUCUGUGUCUGGUGUUGUACGAAUGGCAAUCGCUGACUUGAGUGAACCCAUUUUUGUUUGAGUGAACAAAUUUCAAGCACUCCAGAAUGAAAACGGAGACAAUGGAAAAUCCGAUCAAGACCUGGACUAUGCCCCCAUAUCAGUAUCCCGUAUGUCGCCACAGAGUGAAAGUUGGAAAAAUAAGUCAGCUUACAGACAUUAUCGGUAGAGAUGGCCUUCAUGCGCCUCAUAGUAAAAAGGGCUGUCGACAGUUUCCUGACCAUUAAAGGUAAACCAGUCCUCCGCAACUCGCAGGGUCUCAUUACACACACGCUCCAGUUCCUCCCGUGAAGAAGUAAUAUUGAGAAAGGAUGUAUCAUCUGCAUAUAAACUCGUUGCCUCGCACGGAACAUUUCCUGGUAAGUCAUUAAUGUACACAACGAACAACAAAGGACCCAGUAUCGAUCUCUGUGGGACUCCCACAUUUAUCUCUCUAAUUCCAGAGUUCAUACCCUUCCAUGUGACCACCUGCUUUCUAUCAGUUAAGUAUGAUCUGAUGAAUUUCAAAGCUAUACCUCUUACUCCAUAGUACUCCAUCUUCUCAAGCAGUAUUUCCCUGUCAACACAGUCAAAAGCCUUACUGAGAUC